AGCAAUUCUCUGUAAUCACCAAAAUAUUUCGGCACGCACUAAAAAAUAUUUGUUUUAAACUUUAUUAGUUCAAUAGAACCACAUGAGCUUAACAAAAAAUAUUAUUACACUUAGCCCCAUAUGUUUACCGUUUCCUUGGUAACAGGACUUAAAGUGACAAGAAAGAAGGAAAAUGUAGUGUUUACAAAUUAUGAUCAAUUAUGUCUAAUAAAAAGAAAAUAAUAUAGAUAUUAAGACAUUUAAAACUUUUUUCAGUUAAAAAAAAACAAAUAAAAAUUGUGUUCAACAGUAAACUUUCUUAAAAAAAAAUCUAUAUAGCUAAAAUAGGGUAAAAAGUGCAAUAAAAGGGGGGUUUAAGAGCCUAUUUUGAUCAGGUGUUGUAAAAAAAUGCAGCCAUUUCUUAUAUUGUUGAUUAUAUGAAUAGAGAGAAUGGAUUAAGGUUAUACAAGAAAAGAAAAAAAAUCAGUGGGCAAACUUGACUGUGUUGAAAUUAAUUGACCCUGAAAAGUUGAGUUGUCCUGUAUUUACCUAAUCACAUUACCUCCCUUUACGGAGUUCUCUUGUAGAGAAACAAAUUAAAAACAGGAGGGAAAAUGUAAACAAAUGCAGACAACAAUGUUAUUUUGCGAAUUUCUUCAUGUUUUAUAUUCAAGCAUAAUGGGAAAUGGAUAAAUUUUUCACAGUGAUGUUAGCCUACACUUAUAUAUAUGGUGAAGUUGGUGUGAUUUGCUCAUAUUUUGAAAAUAUUGUCAGAACAAUGGAACUGUGUCUGUACUAAGACAGUGUAUUUUAUACUAGUUUAUUUUGCUUACCGUAACUAACUUUUUUAAUGUAUUUAUUUAUAUAAUCUUCGAAUAAUUGUUAUAAAAUGUGUAGCAUAAAAGAUUUCGUAGGCAAUUGUGACAACUGCAGUGACGACAGGUAUUUUUGAAAGUGCUUCCAUUGGAAAAAAAGACAUGUAUAUACAUUUUUGUCAGAAAUUUCUUUACUUAAAUCUGACAUUACAUUGUACGUCACAACUGAGGAUCUGUGAUAUUCAUAGAAAUAUUAUCAUCAUAACAACUACAUUUUUUGUAACAAGAGAUAUAGAAGGAAAAAUUGUGGUGUGCCUUCAGUAAAUGUCAUUUUGAAAUAUCAUAAUACUACAAAAGCAGUGGAUCGACAUGUUACACCUGAGAUGUUUCAAAGAAUUGUUACAAAGACAGGCAUUUUCAUUCCUAUUGGAACAUCAAUUUGUAGACUGUGUAGAGAAAAACUAUUUGGAAAUAACAGUAUUGAGCAUGUUGAGGAGGAGAACACUAUUGAGACAAAUACAAAGAACAAGAUUGCAAAAGCUGAAAUACUACCACCUUAAAGAAAGAGGGCACUUGAUAUAGUACCAGGGAAGCGUUACAGGGUGAAGGUUGUUGACACAAUCCUUGAUUUAGAUGUAACCAAGAAUAAAGAAACAAUAACCAGUAUUACAAGUUUUUACAACUUUAGAUUUGAGAGCAGUCAUUUGAGGAUGUGGCAGACAUACAAUAUUGAUGAAGGAACAGACAUUCAUUUGUUCUAUGGAUGGCUGCAUUCAAGAGUUCAAGAACCAGAUUAGUCUUGAUCAACACCUCCUUCAAGGCAGCUGUGAAUAUAAGCUAGAGAAAGGCCCAUUAAAAGAUCAGGCAAAAGUUCUAUAUGCCCAAAAGCUGUCAAAUAGUGUACAUCAUUGUCCUGAUAUGCAAGCAGUCUUACUAGAAAAUGCAUGUACUACAGACUUGAGUGCCAAAGAAAUGUGAUGGGCAUUGAAAGUGAAAAAGAAAAAGAUUUUCUUUAGCAUCAAACAGAAAGAAUUCAUGACGGAUUUAUUUUAUUCAUCUUGAAAGGAUGCAAGAAGCAGCCAUAUUGGAUUCAACGACAUUAUAUUUUCCCAAUAAAUAGGCGAAAUAGAAAAAAAAACGCCUACCUUAAACUACUUUUUAAUAGCUUAUAUCCAAAUUUGAAGCGUAAACAAAGCCCCAAAACAUACUAUGUUACAGUUUUACACUUGAAGUAUUCAUAUGACGUCAUGAUGUUGCUAUGAAGUUUAUGUGCCAAAGAAGUCAACAACAUUUUGUGGAAUUUUUAUUUUAAGCAACUAUAUGUCCAAAUAAAAAACAGAAACAAUAUCUUUAUUGACUAUUGCAUUAGAAUGGAUAUAACUGUAUUGUAUUUUAAGGUUUGUGGACGUAAAUCUAGAUUUUACUGUUGCAAUUAUCCGUUUACCUAGCUCUGCUACAGGUCGCUAGGUAAACUCAAUUUGCGACAGUAAUAUCUACGUUUUAUGUCCGAAAAGGUUAAAAUACAAUACAGUUAUCUCCUAAAUAACCUAAACAUGAUUGCACCAAUAUGAGUUUAAUAUAAUGAAAUUUGCAUGUACUUAGAAGGUGUUUUACUUUAUUUUAAAUAUUUAAGUCGGACCAGCAUUUUACCCACAUUGCUUUAUAAAUAGCAAACUUUGUUGAUCUGUAUCAGUUAAAAACUAAUAUGCACAAUCAGUUCUUUCUUCCCCCUCUGUAUUCAAUUACAAAAUUAAAUCUUUAAAAAUGUAAAGAUACAUACUUGAUUUUAGAAAGAAAAAAAAUUGUAAAAUUUUCGAAAUUCGGUUACCAUAGCAACCAUUUUUAUUAAAUUUCAUUAAACAAAACUAUUUUUCUGGACUGAAAAAUUUAACUGAUCAAUUUUGUUAAAUUGUAAGAAAUUUAAUGCCAUCUUUGUAUUGUUUAAAUAUGGAAAUUACUUGGAUCAUUAUUGACUUGUAGAAAAAUACAAUUUACAGAAUUUGAAAAUCUUGUGUUUUUCAUUCAUUAAAAAUAUUUUUUGCAAUUAUUUGCCCAUUGAUUUUAUUUUAUAUUCUGGAAGACCUAUAUUGGUUUUUUCUAAAUAUACCUAACAUUUUACUAGGAGACGCUGCAUUCAAGAAAAAAAUUCACUUGAAUACCCUGUAUUUACGCAUUUUUCACUGAAAUCCAAAUUUGCCAUUUUAGCAUAUCUUUACUAGCUGGUAGCAAAAUAACUGAUAACGGUAAAAGUAAAAC